UAGUAAGUGUGUAAGAGCGUACGGUGGAUGCCUUGGCACCAGGAGCCGAUGAAGGACGUAGGAGGCUGCGAUAAGCCUCGGGGAGCUGUCAACCGAGCUGAGAUCCGAGGAUGUCCGAAUGGGGAAACCCAGCACGAGUGAUGUCGUGUUACCCGCGCCUGAAUGUAUAGGGCGUGUGGAGGGAACGUGGGGAAGUGAAACAUCUCAGUACCCACAGGAAGAGAAAACAAUAGUGAUUCCGUGAGUAGUGGCGAGCGAAAGCGGAAGAGGCUAAACCGUGUAGAUGUGAUAGCCGGCAGGCGUUGUCUAUGCGGGGUUGUGGGAUUGCUCUUCUCAGUUCUGCCGAGCUGGGCGUGAGUCAGAAACCGUUGUGUUAGCUGAAUUGGUCUGGGACGGCCAACCGUAGACGGUGAGAGUCCGGUAAGCGAAAACUCAACGGCUCA
rnacentral:rRNA from 1 species